UACGUAGGGGGCAAGCGUUAUCCGGAUUUACUGGGCGUAAAGGGAGCGUAGACGGCGAAGAAAGUCUGAAGUGAAAGCCCGCGGCUUAACCAUGGAACUGCUUUGGAAACUGUGCAGCUGGAGUGCAGGAGAGGUAAGCGGAAUUCCUAGUGUAGCGGUGAAAUGCGUAGAUAUUAGGAGGAACACCAGUGGCGAAGGCGGCUUACUGGACUGUAAAUGACGCUGAGGCUCGAAAGCGUGGGGAGCAAACAGG
rnacentral:rRNA from 1 species